GAUGAACGCUGGCGGCGUGCCUAAUACAUGCAAGUCGAGCGAACGGACGAGAAGCUUGCUUCUCUGAUGUUAGCGGCGGACGGGUGAGUAACACGUGGAUAACCUACCUAUAAGACUGGGAUAAAUUCGGGAAACCGGAGCUAAUACCGGAUGAUAUUUUGAACCGCAUGGUUCAAAAGUGAAAGACGGUCUUGCUGUCACUUAUAGAUGGAUCCGCGCUGCAUUAGCUAGUUGGUAAGGUAACGGCUUACCAAGGCAACGAUGCAUAGCCGACCUGAGAGGGUGAUCGGCCACACUGGAACUGAGACACGGUACAGACUCCUACGGGAGGCAGCAGUAGGGAAUCUUCCGCAAUGGGCGAAAGCCUGACGGAGCAACGCCGCGUGAGUGAUGAAGGUCUUCGGAUCGUAAAACUCUGUUAUUAGUGAAGAACAUAUGUGUAAGUAACUGUGCACAUCUUGACGGUACCUAAUCAGAAAGCCACGGCUAACUACGUG
rnacentral:rRNA from 1 species